rnacentral:rRNA from 1 species
GUGAGGAAUAUUGCGCAAUGGAGGCAACUCUGACGCAGCCAUGCCGCGUGCAGGAAGAAGGCGCUACGCGUUGUAAACUGCUUUUAACCGGGAAGAAACCCCAGGACGUGUCCUGGGUUGACGGUACCGGAGGAAUAAGCACCGGCUAACUUCGUGCCAGCAGCCGCGGUAAUACGAAGGGUGCAAGCGUUAUCCGGAUUCAUUGGGUUUAAAGGGUGCGUAGGCGGAGCGUUAAGUCAGUGGUGAAAUCCUGCAGCUUAACUGUAGACUUGCCAUUGAUACUGGCGCUCUUGAGUGCGCUUGAAGUGGGCGGAAUGUGCCGUGUAGCGGUGAAAUGCUUAGAUAUGGCACAGAACACCAAUUGCGAAGGCAGCUCACUAAGGCGAUACUGACGCUGAGGCACGAAAGCGUGGGGAUCGAACAGGAUUAGAUACCCCUGUCC